UACGGAAGGCAGCAGUGGGGAAUAUUGCACAAUGGGCGAAAGCCUGAUGCAGCUAUGCCGCGUGUAUGAAGAAGGCCUUAGGGUUGUAAAGUACUUUUCAUCGGGGAGGAAAAAACAAAACUAAUAAUUUUAUUUCUUGACGUUACCCGAAAAAGAAGCACCGGCUAACUCCGUGCCAGCAGCCGCGGUAAUACGGAGGGUGCUAGCGUUAAUCAGAAUUACUGGGCGUAAAGAGCACGUAGGUGGUUUUUUUAAGUCAGAUGUGAAAUCCCUGGGCUUAACCUGGAACUGCAUUUUGAAACUGAAAUACUAGAGUAUCGUAGAGGGAGGUAGAAUUCUAGGUGUAGCGGUGAAAUGCGUAGAUAUCUGGAGGAAUACCUGUGGCGAAAGCGGCCUCCUAAACGAAUACUGACACUGAGGGUGCGAAAGCGUGGGGAGCGAAACAGGGAUUUAGGAUACCCGU
rnacentral:rRNA from 1 species